CCUAUUUGGGAGGAGCUUGGGAAGGUUGGAUUUGAAUCAGGCCAUGCAUACGGAAAAGCACUGCGAACUGUGAAGUCUUGUGUAGGUUCGACAUGGUGUCGAUAUGGAGUGCAAGACUCU
rnacentral:sRNA from 17 species